rnacentral:rRNA from 1 species
GUGUCAGCAGCCGCGGUAAUACGGAGGACCCAAGCGUUAUCCGGAAUCAUUGGGUUUAAAGGGUCCGUAGGCGGCCUUAUAAGUCAGCGGUGAAAGUUUUUGGCUUAACCAAAAAAUUGCCAUUGAUACUGUAGGGCUUGAAUGUUUGUGAGGUAACUAGAAUAUGUAGUGUAGCGGUGAAAUGCUUAGAUAUUACAUGGAAUACCAAUUGCGAAGGCAGGUUACUAACAAACGAUUGACGCUGAUGGACGAAAGCGUGGGUAGCGAACAGGAUUAGAAACCCCAGUAGUCC